rnacentral:pre_miRNA from 1 species
GGGUGUGUGUGUGUGUGUGUGUGUGUGUGUGUGUGUGCGCGCGCACGCACAUGCACACAUGCGCAUGUGCA